CCUACGGGUGGCUGCAGUGGGGAAUAUUGCACAAUGGGGGAAACCCUGAUGCAGCAACGCCGCGUGAGUGAAGAAGUAUCUCGGUAUGUAAAGCUCUAUCAGCAGGGAAGAAAAUGACGGUACCUGACUAAGAAGCCCCGGCUAACUACGUGCCAGCAGCCGCGGUAAUACGUAGGGGGCAAGCGUUAUCCGGAUUUACUGGGUGUAAAGGGAGCGUCGACGGGGUGGCAAGUCUGAAGUGAAAGCCCGGGGCCCAACCCCGGGACUGCUUUGGAAACUGUCAUGCUGGAGUGCUGGAGAGGUAAGCGGAAUUCCUAGUGUAGCGGUGAAAUGCGUAGAUAUUAGGAGGAACACCAGUGGCGAAGGCGGCUUACUGGACAGUAACUGACGUUGAGGCUCGAAAGCGUGGGGAGCAAACAGGAUUAGAUACCCUUGUAGUC
rnacentral:rRNA from 1 species